UCUCCGUUGGUGAACCAGCGGAGGGAUCAUUACUGGAAUCGCAAGAUCCCACAACUCUGUGAACCUACCGAAACGUUGCCUCGGCGGGUGCCUGGCUCCGGCGCCGGGCGCUGCGCCCGCCUGCUGCCCCCUAUUUCGUUCUUGCAGCUAGGCUUCUUAGAGUCCCAGAAAACAAGUUAAAACUUUCAACAACGGAUCUCUUGGCUCUA
rnacentral:misc_RNA from 1 species